rnacentral:misc_RNA from 1 species
GGAGUAAAAGUCGUAACAAGGUUUCCGUAGGUGAACCUGCGGAAGGAUCAUUAACGAGUUAGGGUCUUCUAGGCCCGACCUCCCAACCCUUUGUUUACUGAACCAUUGUUGCCUCGGUGGGUCCGUCUUACGACCGCCGGGGGAUCGCCGCGAGGCGCCCCCUGGCCAGCGCCCACCGAUAGCCCAACCUUUAAAACCCUUUGUGAAUCGUGUCUUAUGUCUAAAUUUAUGAUUAGACAAUCAAAACAAAACUUUCAACAACGGAUCUCUUGGUUCUG